CCUACGGAGGGCUGCAGUGGGGAAUAUUGGACAAUGGGCGAAAGCCUGAUCCAGCCAUGCCGCGUGUGUGAAGAAGGCCUUCGGGUUGUAAAGCACUUUCAGUGGGGAAGAAAGCCUUGGGGCUAAUACCCUCGAGGAAGGACAUCACCCACAGAAGAAGCACCGGCUAACUCCGUGCCAGCAGCCGCGGUAAUACGGAGGGUGCGAGCGUUAAUCGGAAUUACUGGGCGUAAAGCGCGCGUAGGCGGUCUGAUAAGCCGGUUGUGAAAGCCCCGGGCUCAACCUGGGAACGGCAUCCGGAACUGUCAGGCUAGAGUGCAGGAGAGGAAGGUAGAAUUCCCGGUGUAGCGGUGAAAUGCGUAGAGAUCGGGAGGAAUACCAGUGGCGAAGGCGGCCUUCUGGACUGACACUGACGCUGAGGUGCGAAAGCGUGGGUAGCAAACAGGAUUAGAUACCCUUGUAGUC
rnacentral:rRNA from 1 species